rnacentral:rRNA from 1 species
GUCGAACGAACUCUGGUAUUGAUUGGUGCUUGCAUCAUGAUUUACAUUUGAGUGAGUGGCGAACUGGUGAGUAACACGUGGGAAACCUGCCCAGAAGCGGGGGAUAACACCUGGAAACAGAAGCUAAUACCGCAUAACAACUUGGACCGCAUGGUCCGAGUUUGAAAGAUGGCUUCGGCUAUCACUUUUGGAUGGUCCCGCGGCGUAUUAGCUAGAUGGUGGGGUAACGGCUCACCAUGGCAAUGAUACGUAGCCGACCUGAGAGGGUAAUCGGCCACAUUGGGACUGAGACACGGCCCAAACUCCUACGGGAGGCAGCAGUAGGGAAUCUUCCACAAUGGACGAAAGUCUGAUGGAGCAACGCCGCGUGAGUGAAGAAGGGUUUCGGCUCGUAAAACUCUGUUGUUAAAGAAGAACAUAUCUGAGAGUAACUGUUCAGGUAUUGACGGUAUUUAACCAGAAAGCCACGGCUAACUACGUGCCAGCAGCCGCGGUAAUACGUAGGUGGCAAGCGUUGUCCGGAUUUAUUGGGCGUAAAGCGAGCGCAGGCGGUUUUUUAAGUCUGAUGUGAAAGCCUUCGGCUCAACCGAAGAAGUGCAUCGGAAACUGGGAAACUUGAGUGCAGAAGAGGACAGUGGAACUCCAUGUGUAGCGGUGAAAUGCGUAGAUAUAUGGAAGAACACCAGUGGCGAAGGCGGCUGUCUGGUCUGUAACUGACGCUGAGGCUCGAAAGUAUGGGUAGCAAACAGGAUUAGAUACCCUGGUAGUCCAUACCGUAAACGAUGAAUGCUAAGUGUUGGAGGGUUUCCGCCCUUCAGUGCUGCAGCUAACGCAUUAAGCAUUCCGCCUGGGGAGUACGGCCGCAAGGCUGAAACUCAAAGGAAUUGACGGGGGCCCGCACAAGCGGUGGAGCAUGUGGUUUAAUUCGAAGCUAAACUCAAAGGAAUUGACGGGGGCCCGCACAAGCGGUGGAGCAUGUGGUUUAAUUCGAAGCUACGCGAAGAACCUUACCAGGUCUUGACAUACUAUGCAAAUCUAAGAGAUUAGACGUUCCCUUCGGGGACAUGGAUACAGGUGGUGCAUGGUUGUCCUCACCUCCUGUCCUGAGAUGUUGGGUUAAGUCCCGCAACCAACGCAACCCUUAUUAUCAGUUGCCAGCAUUAAGUUGGGCACUCUGGGUGAGACUGCCGGUGACAAACCGGAGGAAAGGGGGGGGAUAACUUCAAAUCUUCUUGCCCCUUAUGACCGGGGCUACCACCUUGCUCCAAUGGAGGGGACAACCAAUUGGGGAACUCCGGGAGGAAGACCUAAUCCUUUAAAGCACUCUCCCACUUCCGGAAUUUAGGGCGCCAACUCGCCUCACAAAAAACGGGAAACCCCUUU